ACACAGUGGUAGCUAAAUUACGUGUCUUCUGCCUUGACCUUCUACGCUAAUUAUGCCGCGGGCGUUAUGCCGGGCUUUAGCUGGUAAGUACGUUGUUCCUUAUUUUAUUCUGUCAGGUCCUCUUAAACAAACAAGCAAAAAAAAAAAAAAAGGGAACUAAAAUGGAUGGAAAUUACCAAAUUAAAUAAAUUUUUACAAAUAUAUAAUUACCACAAAAAAAGAAAUAUUUUUUUUUAUAUAAAUAAAGAAAGAAAUAAGUGAAAAAAGGAAAUACUAUAAAAAAAAAAAAAAAGAGGGUACAUCCCCCCCUUCAUUUUCAGUAUGGAUGUAUCAUGUGUUAUAGACGUUCUACUUUUAUAUGUUUUACACUUUUCUGCAGCGUCAGGCGCGGCUAAUAGCGCUGGCGAUGCCUCCCAGGAAUUGGGCGUUUCAUGUGACUCUGGGUGCUGCUGAGCAAGGAUAGCACGCUUGGCUUGCGCGACAUACUGGGGAGCAGAUUGGAGAAGGGGUUUUAUUGGAGGUAUGUUUCCUCCUGCCACUGGGAGUCCCAUGACUAAGCGGGACUUUAGGGACUCCGGGAAGGUCGUGGGGCACAUACCGUAAUCGGAUACACCCCAUGACGCGUUAUCGAAUACAGCUCCCCAAGAAUGGUCCACGUGGUUCUGCUGUCAGGAGCACUGCCUUAGCACUGUGCGUUUUCGUCCUUUCUUGGGGGGGGGGGUUGGUGGGGGGACACCCAGCUCCUCACUGGCCCCCAGCCGGAGGGUAGGAGAGGUUGGUAAGUGGGUCCUCGUGCCAUUCCAGCGGGAGGGCUCCGGUGGUGGGGGGCCCAUCCCAUCUUCCGCGGUUCAUGCGGGCAAUCUGUCGGGAUAGGGGACAUGGGUGCGCUCCGUGCAGGACCCUCAGUCCAUAUGAGAACUCCAUCGGGUGGUGUGGGACCAGUUUAACAAGAAGCUUGAUAAGCUUACCUCCCGAUCUUUUUAGUGUGCCAUUGAAGUCCGCUCCGCGGGUCCCCCCCUUUGGGAUAUGGUGCCCAUGGAGGAGCGGGGUCGAUAUCGCAGAUUCCUUAUUUACUCAGUUGUCGUUCCCUGUUUGGGGCUGGGUUUGUGAUGGUGGCAUGACACAGCCGUCUGAGUGGGUGGGACUGCGGGGCCCUGAGGCCUCACUGAUGAAGGCAGCUGUGGAAUCAGUUUUCCGGCUGCUGCCGGUGCGCCCGGCUGGUUAUUGUUUCUGGGCUGUGUUUCUGACGGUCAGGAUUAGGUGGCUUUGUGCCUCCACAAGAGUGGCUCCCAAUGUUGCUUAUGUGUGGGUCCGUCAGUGUCGCAUGUCCGCACUCUGCUGCUGCAGUGUUUUCUUGGGGUAGUGUUUCAGCAUUUCGGAGUUCCGUGGCCCAGGACAUAUCCGUAGUCUCAUGUAGUUUCCUGGAUAGUAUGCUGUAGUCUCCUGGAUAGUGGGAUCGAUUCUCCCUGGCUGCGGUUUAAGACAUCAGGCAGGAGGCAUCAGUGGUUUUGGGGGGCGUUGUGGGUUUCCCGCUGCGCUACCCGUGGGCUCUCCUGGGUUAGCUGGGCUUUGCCUGUUGGUGUUGCCCUUGGGGCUGUAUGGGGUUCCUUCUGGGCCUCCAUGGUGGUGGCUUUUGCAAUCAGGCUCCCUAAGUUCCUUUCACUGACUUCCACCUGUUUGCCGCUGCAGCAGUUUUGGGGGUUUUGGGGCCAUUUUGGGCUCUCAAUGGUGCUGACUCUUGUCCAUUAAGCUGGCAAGCAUCGGGGCUCUGGCAGACUCUGGCUGUCUUGGAGCUUCCCCAUUCUGGUGGCAGGUUAGGCAUGGGGUAUCCAAUUCGCGAACAGAUGGGUAGUUCUUCUUUUGGGACAAUCGUGGGGUGGUGCAGGCUGGCUUUGUCAUGUGACAGUACCCUCUACACCGGUGGGGCUCGGCGCUGUUUGAGUCUGGGGGUGUCUGAUCAGGCGGGGUUUUCCCGGGUAUUCACAUUGUUAUGGCCGAGGCUAUUUCUUGUUCACUAUGGGAUGUACUUCGGGUGGAGGCUUCAAGGGGCCAAAUUAUAGGGCAGUGGAGAUGUGGUCGAUUGAUCUAACGGUCUGAUGAAGCUGGUCCAUGGAUCGAUCUCUGAGGCGGCGUGGGGCCCGCUACAGUAAGGUGGGGUGAUUGGGACGGAUGGGAACAUUUCCUUGGGGGGGUUCCAGGAGUAGACUGCUCAUCUACAUGUUUUGUUCCCUCUAUUGAGGGCGUUAGGGGCUGGGGGGUAGUCCUCCUUAAUGAUUUCUCCGAUUAGCGGGACUCGGCUUCCCGUUCUUGUUACGGUCGUCUGCAAGUGGGAGGGUGCUUUGGUGGAGUUGAGUGAGCGUUGGAACGGACUUCCUUCAGGUUUCGCUGAUGGCUGUUGUCUUUGGGAAGGGUAAGUCGGUUGCGGUUGGCCGAUUCCUCAAUAGAAUCUGUCCAAUUUCGUUGGGGGUUUCACUUGGGGCUCGACUUCCCGGGUGAGGAUGGUGGGGAGUUCAGGUAGCAUUCAUUCCGGUUAGGGGCGGCCACAGACACCGCCAGGCUUGGCGUGCCUGCGCCAAUAGUUCAAAGGCGCGAAUGGUGGGAGUCAGGGUGGCAGGUUCCUUAGGUUCACCCUGCUGGUCUCCGGAGUUGUUUUCGCUCCACAGUUAUGGUCCCCUCCCCGGAAUAGGGACGGUGUGGGCCAGGAGGCAGGGGCGAGUGGUUGGGUCUUACGCCUUCUUGAGCGAAGGUUCGGUGGUCUGGCACCAGAUAUAUGAGGGGGGUGUGGCUCCUCCCCGUCCUGAGUCAGCUGUCCUGCCUCCUGGGGGUACCGGGUUUUUUUUGUCAUCCAUCUGGCUGGAUUGACCUGGGUUCGGUGAUUGUUUGGGGUUUGGGUUGAUCUUAAAUCUGGACAUGUUACGCAUUCUGUUUUCUUCCCAGAGGUUCUCAGGGGCUGGGCUGAGGCUAUCGCCCGUUCCGGUUGGCAGUGCGGUCAGCAAUGUGAGUGCCCUGGUGCGCUGCCGUCGGAAAUUGGGUGAGAUGGGUUUCUAAGUUUGUCUUGGAGGUUGGGGGAUUCCAAUUUGCCUUAGGGCUUUGAGCGGGACGUGGCCUGGUUAUCUCGAGGGGAUGGGUGCGCUUGAUGGAGGUCGGACUAGGCCUAUAUUAAUCUAGCGCUGCAGGAAGUGGUGGAACAGGCUAUAGCGGGUUGUGGUGGGGUCCCCCGCUGAUUUUAGGCAUAAAACAGCGGGGUUGUGGCGGGGGUAUGUCCUUGCCAAUUCAGUUUGAGGGGUUACGUUUAAGUAUAUGGAAUGAGAUGAACAAGUUUUUAAGGUCUCAACCUCCCCUGCUUCAAUGGGUUAACCUUAGGUUACCUGGGAUGUCGUGCCCAUUGAGCAUGGAUAAGGUCGCUGAUGGCAGGCAUUGGAAGGAAAUGGGGAGGUGAGAGGAAGUCGCGCAUAGGCGCAUGGUCAGUUUAUUGGCAAGGACGCUUGGGUUCGCUGUAUGACACUAUGUGUUAAGUUAUAUGCAUACAUAUGUUAAUUUAUGGUUAUUCAUGUUUAAUGUUUGGUUACAGAAAUGAAGAGAAAUGUAUUAAAUAAAUUAUGGAGGUGUCAUACAGUAUUUGUCGUAUGGUAUAAUAAAUGCUGUGGCCUGUUUCAUCCAUACUUCGUUGUCUGUCUUUAAUUUGGAAGGGGGAGGAUUUGGGUUGGUUUAUGUAUUAUGCUGCAUUGCAAUUCCCCACUACGUACAUACAGCGAGCUACACUAAGAUUGUUAGAGAGGCAUUUAGCAGACAAACUUCAGCAUGCUGGAUAAGUGGGUGUUAUAUAUGUCUUUUAAAUUCAAUCUGCACUGGCUGCUGUGAGAUGACUAAUUAUUGUGAUUUUUUUUCUUUUGGGAACACCAGUACUGGGUUUUUAUCUAGAAAGAGCAAUAUCUUAAUGUGCUUGCUUGCCUUACCUUAUUAGCGAUUAGGAGCAUAUUUAUUGUGUUUUUUCCAUUGGUAGCAAUAUUAUACUACUAUGCUCGUAGCACCAUUUAGACCACAUUACACCUUUUGUCUAGGAUUUAUCAGUAAAAAAUAUAUACAUUUUUAAGAUUUUUAUCAAGUGACACAAUAUAGGCUACAGAUAAUAAACAAAAGUAUUUACCGCAAUUCACAAGCAGAAUCGGGCAACCCCGUGGAGUUUGUUUGUUUGAUUCGUGUUCCUGCCCGAUUCGGCUUGUGAAUUGCGGUAAAUACUUUUGUUUACUAUCUGUAGCCUAUAUUGUGUCACUGAUUGUUGUAACAGCAAUGUAUACUUAUUAUUGAAUUAAUAAAUCUAGAUAGCGAUUUCUUAAGGUUUUUUUGUGUGCAUUCAUUUAUUACUUAACUAUUAUUUUUUUGGUAUUUGGGGGAGUACCAGUAUUGGAUAGCACCCUAAGGUCUGUUUACUUUCUAUGUUUGUAUUAUUGAAUGUUCUCUCCAUACUUUGUACAUUAUAAGAUUUUUAUCAAUAAAUGUUUUAAGUAAUAUCUGUAAAGUUUCCACUUUUUUCGUCUCACCAGUAAUCUAAGGGACACCCUAUAAUUUAAGGGACACUAUGUUUUUUGUUGUGUGAGGUUUCUAAACAGAACGCUGACUAUCAAUGAAACAGCCAGGGAGGUUCCUUUCUGCUUCUGUAAGCUCUACGGAGCCAACGGAAGUGGUAGACUUGAGCCCCCUCGCAUACAUCCUUCUCAGAUAAGAAUGCUGUGCAUACCGUGCAUGCACGAGCAAACACAUGCACGGAGAGAACGAUUCAGAGGCUAUUUCUUUCUGAACAGUCUGUGAGUCUCUUCUGAACAAACAGGAGAUAACUUGCAAAGGCUGCAAGUAUCAAUUGGGAUUAGUGAUGUCCCGAACUGUUCCCCGAACGGCUCGCCACGAACGGUUUGCCGUGGACUCAUCAUUGAAUAAACUUUGACCCUGUACCUCACAGUCAGCAGACACAUUCCAGCCAAUCAGCAGCAGACCCUCCCUCCCAGACCCUCCCACCUCCUGGACAGCAUCCAUUUUACAUCUAUUGUGAAGCUGCAUUCUUAGUGAGCUGUCCAGGAGGUGGGAGGGUCUGGGAGGGAGGGUCUGCUGCUGAUUGGCUGGAAUGUGUCUGCUGACUGUGAGGUACAGGGUCAAAGUUUACUCAAUGAUGCGUCCGCGGCGAACUGUUCGUGGCGAACCGUUCGCGAACCGUUCGGGACAUCACUAAUUGGGAUAUAUCUACUAAAUAUGGAUUUUUUUUUUGCCCCUCUGACAGUGCAAGGAUUAAUCUUGUAGCUACUGGCCAGCGCUUACUAGUCAGCCUCUGCAGUAAAAAUCAUAUACAAAUUACAAAAAAUCCUAGUAUAAGAGAGUUUUAACACCAUCCUUCUGACCCCAAGCACCCUGCCAUGGAUGGGGGCAUGCAUAACUGCAAAACAGUGAGCAGCCAGUGGCUGUGUAGUUUAAUUACAUUUAGUGACUAGGCAGCGAUUGGCUGGUACCUAUAAAAUACGUGACGAUGCUGGCAUACUAACUUCGAAGGACUUUCUUUACCUCAUUGUACUUAAGGCUGUCUUUUCAGGGGUUGGUCUAUUCUCUAUUCCAGUUCCUCAACAACUAAUCUGCUAUGGCCAAAAUCUCAUAAGCACAAAAUAAUGUGCAACUUUGUCCUUGUAGCUCUAUGAAAUCACAUUUAUGCAAUACUAUGCCACCAGCAGCCUAUUUUAUUAUCUGCUCAGUAAUUGAACUUGUUGGAUCCACGUUUUCUCUCUUAUUAACAAUAUUCUCUAAUUUGUUCCAAAGUCAUCUACAUCACUGGGUGAUUUUGCUUAACCCCUUAAGGACACAACUUAUGAAAUAAAAGGAAAUCAUGAUGGAAUAUUUCUGUCAUGUGUAAUUAAGGGGUUAAUAGGGAACCAUCACCUCUCUGUAAAUGACACCACUCCAAAAUAAUAAUCCUUGAAAAUCUUUUUUUAUCAUGUGAUGUUCUGUUUUCUUUUACAUUUCUAUUAAAUAUUAAUUACAUCACAAUCCAGUUCAGUCCCCGUACAGUUAAAAAAAAAAGUAAAUCAUUUUAAACAUGGAAUUUUGAUAAUUUAAGAUGAAGAAAUUCCAACAUAUUUUUCCAUACUGUGUUUACACUAUAUUUAGAAAUUGAGACCACUCCAUGUAUAGUAGAGGUGCCAGGUUUGUAUUAUAAUAACUAGUAUAUGAAUUUAGUAGACUAACAACUGGGCACAAGUAACACUGCUCCACCUACUGGUGAGACUUGGAUACAGUCCAUACACUCAUGUUAUUUUGACACAAUCAAUAUGAUGUGAUCAGUAGCAACUAUCUUUAACUAGAUUGACUACACUGCAAGGGUCCCUAGGACAUGUCCUUACCUUAAUAAUAUAUUUGUUGGAGACAAUCAAGGGUGUAAGUAGGAUUCUCUGAGCCCUGGUGCAAGAAUAAAAAUAAAUAAAAUUAAUUUUAAAAAAGGGCCCCCCCUUUUUUGCUCUCCUUGAAGGAAUACAUAUAAGUGAGAUGUGUAUGGUGGCUGAGUGGGAUUGCUGUGUUUUGGUUACGUGUGAUUUGUAUGUGUGGAGGUGGCUUAGUGUGAUUGUGUGGAGUUAUAUGAGUGUGAUUGUUUAUGUUAUUACCCCCCUCAUGUUUAUUUUUCUGCAGGGAGGGGGGUAUGAUCCCUGAUAGUUCCAUGGUGAUGUUGGUUGUAUUCCUGGUGGUCCAUUGGGGGAGCGAGUGGUCUGCUUCUCUGGAGGGUGCAGACCACAUAUAUGCUCUUCUGCUCCAGUGCUCAGUGAAUGAGUCAGAGCACUGCGAUGGUAAUCCAGUAGCAGUGCUUGGACUUAUUCACUGAGCACCAGAACUGCGAGGGAGUACUUACAGUGUUCCAUGCAGUAAUUUAUUUGUUUAAAUUAUAUUGCCAAAUGGGCAUUAGACUAAGUAAUAUGUUGUUUACACUUUUUAACAAUGUCCAAAACUUGUAGAGCAGGUCUGAAAGAGCCUGGAUUUGGUCUAGAUUUUAGUCCGACCUAAAGCUGCCAUAAUUAUGAAAUCUGGACACGGAAGCUUAAAAGCUGUGCCUGGCUUUAAAUAAACCCAAACUAUUUGUUUAUGUGUGAGGGCUUGUUGGGGAGAAUCAACCCCCGGUAUAUAUAGUAAAUAUAUAGCCUCCACCAGCCAACAAAUCUGGGGGACUUGGGGUAACACUAUGUCUCCCAUGUUUGUUUUAAUACGUAUACCCCACCUGUUGAACACAGGUGUUCUGUCCACAUCCCCAUUAUUUCAUUUAAUGAGCCAACCCAAUGUCCACAGGUGGGUGCAAGGAGGGCACACGCUCCAGGUUCCAGGCUGCAUUAUGUCAAUUCUGUGCAUAUUUCAGUGCUUCUCCCUUGAUGGCAGAGGCUGCAAGGGCAAACUCGUGUCUCCUUCCUUAAUUGCAGCCCUCCCUCAUUCCUAUCCCAUCUGAUAGUUUCUUUCCCCAUGCCCUCUCUCCCCUUCUCCUUCAUUCAAUAUCCCCUUCCCUCACAGAUUCAGAGUUCACCCCUAUGCUCUGAGUUGAUUAAAUUGUCCAAUCAAAUGCUUCUCUAUGAGAACUCUUUGAUUGGACCUCUCCACGACUCCUGUGACUUCAGGUGUGGGUGUGCCGAGCAGCAUCAAGAGCUUCACCCAACACUGGAUUUAGGUAAGUUAAACUUAUUUUAAAUUUAUUUAUAGCAUCUUUUGGAGGUGAACAUAAAGCAUAAUGUCUAAUAUCGCAUUAUUCAAAGGAAAAAAUAAAUAAAAAUAAGCUUGGGGAAACCUUUUAAUUAGUGUUCUCGUUGGUCCCACUUUUAAAUGUUCAAAAAUUGAAGGCACCUGACUGUAUGUCUAUAUUGUACUUAUUGUUAUUUCAUGUGCCAAGUCACAAAGAAUAAAAAAAACAACUGAACAAAAAUAAACACAUCUAUUGGCCCAUCCCAUCUAUCCAUUUUUAGCUACAAGCACAUGCUCUAUUGAUAACGCUGGGAGAGAUUUAUCAAAGGGAUGCCAACACUUUUAUGUGUAGCUUUUUAUUUUAAUUUAUUAAAUCUUUUUUUUUUUAUCUGUAGCUUCUUUUGUACCCUAACCAGCAUUUUUAAAUGUCUUUUGAUGACAAAACCAAUUUAGCCAUUUUGUUUUCUGACAGCAAAAUGAUGUUUUACUCGAUUUUUUUUCUGCCACUUUAAUGGAGAUAUUAUUUAUCAAGGUGUUCUGAAAAAGUGCUAGUUAAAAUUCUCAUUAUUUUGUUCGGAUGUAUUAAAGUGUUCUAAAAGUGAACUAAAAAGUGCUGAUUCUCUUUGUAGUAAAUUCCACCACAUUUUACAGAAAUAUCCAUUGCAAAUAAAUGCCAUUUACAGUGGAGGAAACAGAGAUAAAUAUGAUGAAAAUAUUGACAGAACUUAACUGUCACUUUUCAGAACACAGUGAUAAGUAUCCCCCAUUGUAUCUUGCUGAAACAGCAGUGCCUUCAUUUAAAUCCUUGAUAAUUCUUCCACAAUAUUAGCGUAUACCAUCUCUGCUGGAAGGCAAACCCUUGCAUCCACAACUAACUCCUCCAGAAAAUUAUUUCCUGGAUAACAUCACACUUGUAUUCUGUAAGAAAACCUUGUCUGCUCCAUGAUAUAAAUGUUUAGGUUAAAUGCUUAUGUUAUGCAUAAUUAGUCAUUGCUGACAGCAAACAGGCAAAGUCCAACUAUCAUUCGGAGAACUGGAAACCAAGGUAACAGGAUAACAAAUUCUGAGAACUAGCAUAAUUGUUACAGCACAUGAUGAAAGGCAGGCCCUUCAUAACAAAUGACACACAGUAUUGUCAUGAUCUAAAUGGAAUCUGCUUAAUCUCUUUACCGUGAAGCGUAAAAGCCAAUGAACAGGCAUGACCUGCAGCCGGAGACCAGCAGUGAGCACUUCAUCAGUAUGUGUAGCCAUCUUUACUUUAUUACCUCAUGUGUGGGAAGGUAGUAACAGUCAGGUAGGUGCCUGACACUUACCCACUAUUUUUUCCUUCACCCAAAUGCCCUGGAAUAUAAAUUGUAAGUAUAAUGGACAUGGUAUUCCCAAGAGCCCUAAAAUGAACAUAUUAUUAUUUAUACAGCGCCAACAAAUUCCGCAGUGCUGUACAAUGGGAUGGGUGGACUAACAGACAAGUUUUUGCAACAAGACAAGUUGAAUGCACAGGAACAGAGGGUGACAUUCUAGAGGGAGUGGGUAAAGUUACACAAGAGGUAAGGGUAGGAUAUAUUUAAUGUAUAGGAAAUGUUUUCCAAGGUCUGCGGGGUGAGGGGGGAGAACACAAAUAAUGUUUGAAAAACUAGUGCUGCCCAAAUUAUGAGGCACACACCAAUUGCCAAUCCACUGAAUGGGUAAAAAUGUUGAUGGAACCUAAUAAAAGCAUCAUGCUGAUAAACAUCAUCCCAAAUUUUUUAAGUUUGACUAUUUUGGUUUUGGAUUAAAAUAUUAAAUUACCUUGAAUAUACUGGAGUACCUGCCAUGGUCGGAGGGGUCAGAGCUGCGACCUGGCCCCUCACUCCAGGGUGCCCAGCCGCAGCCGCAACCCCUGCCACCGUUGGCCGCCUAGAUACUUUAUGGGCCGGUGCACAGCCGCACUGGACCGGGUCUGCGGUUCCUGGAGGUCUGGCAGGAAGAGAGAGCUGAACUGUGCUGCUACCCUCCUGGCUGUGUGUAGCAACGCCGAGCGGUCUGAUUGGAAAUGCUCACUGUUAGGGCACUUCCUGUCCUGUCAGACCAGGAACCGUGGCCAGUUAGGUACAGGAGAAGAGGGGGGAGAGAGAGAGGGUAUGGGAUACAGGGAGGGGAGGUGGGAGAAGGGUAUGGGAUACAGGGAGGGGAGAUGAGGGUAUGGGACACCUGGAGGGAAGGGGAGAGUGGGAGAAAUGGUACACAGGGAGGGGAGGGGGGAAAGAAAGAACAAUGGGACACAUGGAGGGAAGGGGGAGGGAGAGAGGGUAUGGCAUACAUGGAAGGGAAGGGAAGAGAGGGAGGGUAGAAGGAGAAGGAGAAAUAGGACACAUGGAGGGGCUGGGAGGGAGGAGGGUAUGAGAAACAUGGAGGGGCUAAGGGGAGAGGGAAUUUGUCACAUAAAGGGGCUGGAGGAGGAGCCUAUGGGACACAUGGAGGGGCUGUGGGGCAGAGGGAAUGAGGCACAUGGUGGGGCAUGGGAAUGAGACACCAAGGGCAGGGAUAAGACACAUGGGCAAUUUUCGCACCUAGGCCCAGUGGGUUCUAGUUACGCCUCUGCUUGAAUACUAGAAAAUUCACACUUUUUUGAAUAACUUACAGGGUUACUUACUAAAGUAAUGAUGGGAAUUCAAGGUAUUGGAACUGGAAGCACAGGUGACUUGUAUGAUUUUUCCAUGUCAGCUAUUUUGGUCUUUAAUUUGAGAUUCACUUUUAAUUCACUUUGAAUUCUCGACAGGCAGAGAUAGGCGACUGAUGACAUCAGGGAAGAUAAAGUUCACAACAUCGGGAGUGCCUGAUCUAAGGGCAUUUCCCUAUCCUGAGUAGCCAUGUGACCGGUCACUGGGAAAGGAAAUGUAUCCACACUUAUUUUUCCCAGUUUUGUACCUUUCUGGAUUUUUCUGAAAAAUAUCUAAAGAAACAUUUAGUGUAUUUAUAAGUAGUGGUCGUGUCUUGGUGGCAAAUACCCAUUUUACAGAUAACCAUUAUUUAGAAGUAAAAGGUCAAUGUGAAUCCAUAACCUUUCAUUCAUAAAAUCAAAUUGGAUUUGUAAGUGACUUGCAUUAGCCAUAGCCAUAUACAUAGUGAGUCAUUCCUAAUUAUUGGUAUUUCAAAUUCCACCCAGCUCUAGUCUAUUUACAUUACUAUUUAAAAAACAGGAGCAGGUCAUUCACUUCUUUACUAACAGCAACAACAUUAUUGCAACAUUUACAACGAAUCGAAAACUGUUUAUGUUUUAAUUAAUUAUAUAUUUUAGGGUUUUUUUCUGUUAAACUGCUUUGGCACAGACUAAAAUUCUAUGACAAUUAAGCAAAGUUAAGUUAUUUGAGCUGAACUCAUGACUACAGGCAAAUUUACUCGUAAUCAUUGUACAAUUAACUCCCAGUAUAUAUCUACACAGUGGAAUUAAUCAGUUGCCCUUGCUUGUCUGAAUUUACCCACUGCACCAGUAAAGAAAACGAUGAAGGUAUGGUCCUUGGGUAAGCAGGAGUGGCCAAAAGGUAGAUCUUACUCUUCACCUCCCUUCCAUGAUGCUUUGUCAGCUGUGGACAUGUUAAAAUGUAACAGACUUGUCUUGGCACAGCAUCAGCAUAUAGAAGUCAGAUCAGGGCAUGCAUGAUGCUAAGUGAUUAAAACAUUCUGAUUGAAACACUGCACAUACAGAGAUAUUUAAACUUUUGUGCCAAAAAUUAUUUACACCCACUCUCUUGCCGCUUGUUUAAGUCCAUAUAUUUCUGUCUGUAGCUUGCGUACUAGAUCUUAAUUUGUUUCAAAGCAGUCAAGUUCCAUCAUAGAAUGUUCUCCAUCUAUUACAUCUAGAUUAGAUCCACAUGAAACUGUUUAGAUGCUGUAAUAGUUAGUAAUAUUAUAAUGGUGCUGACCUUGACUAGAGGUGCAAAGAUCGUGUCAUAGUCUUCUCCAUACUUCUGACUAAAUCCUUUUGCUACUAGUCUUGCUUUGCAAUGGAUUACAUUUCCAUCAGCAUCCAGUUAUUUUGCUUGAAUACGCACUUGCAACCAAUGUUUUUUUUUUUUACCUUUAGUUAAUUCAGUCAGAUUCCAUGUUUUGUUUUUGUUUAAGAAUCAAUUUACUCUUUUGCUGUUUACAGCUCCUGUAAAUUAGUUUGCCCUUCUCCGCAUUGUUUGGAGGACCAUUAGACACUCAGAGAACUUACUUCAACUCAACUAAGCGGUCUGGGUCUAAUGGUGAUUUAGUUUUAAAACUGUAAUGUAAAAUAUUACCGCUUGGUAGAUAUGGUAACAUUACAUUGCAUGGUUAACUAUUACCUGACAGCAACUAGAGGUACAUCCACUCUGAGAACCAAGCCUAACUCUGUUCUCACAGCUAACAUCCAAUAGGCAUUGCACAUUCAGUCCCAAUUUGGACUAUUAGAGGCAUUGGCACGACGUUGAAUGAGGCAGAGCGACCAGCAGCAGAGUCUCGAUUUUGGCUCUGAAAAAAAAGGGUAAGUUAAAGGAACACUAAAGGGUCAGAAACACAAACAUGUAUUCCUGACCCUAUAUUGUUAAAUCCACCAUCUAGCCAUCAUGCCUCCAUAAAUAUAGCAAACUAUUACUAUAUUCAAGCCUGAAGCUGUAGAUCUGCAUACUGUUUGCCUCAGAAAAACAAGCAGUCUGCUGACAUCAUCAGAAGUGGUAGCCUGAUCCAAUUACAGUGCUUCACCAUAGGAUUGGCUGAGAGUGACAGAGCCCUGGCCAAUCAGCACAACCCUGGCCAAUCAGCAUCUCCUCAUAGAGAUGAAUUGAAUCAAUGAAUCUCUAUGAGGAAAGUUCAGUGUCUGCAUGCAGAGGGAGGAGAUACUGAAUGUUUGGAUGCAUUUUAGGCAGCCAUGAACCAGGAAGGAUCUCUAGCAGCCAUCUGAGGAGUCGCCAGUGAAGUUAUCACUAGGCUGUAAUGUAAACACUGCAUUUUCUCUGAAAAGAUAGUGUUUACAGCAAAAAGCCUGAAGGUAAUGAUUCUACUCACCAGAACAAAUUCAAUAAGCUGUAGUUUUUCUGGUGACUAUUUUUUUUCAAUUUUUAUUUAGAUUUAGGGGACCCUGAAUAUAAAUAAAGAGGAGAACACUAUAGAGUUAGGAAUAUAUGUUUGUAUAAUUAUAAUGUUAUAAUGUCCAUUUAAUAUCAAAAUCACUUGUUGCUUGUUCCCCUUCUUUAAAACAAACAACACUUCUCACUUUUACUUUCCUGGAUUCAGGAUUCUUCAGCCUUUAGCUUUAAGCCCCGUUUCCCACGCCAUCCCUACUGCAAGCCUCUACAAUUGAACGCUACAGCCUUAAGGUACAAAUUUGGAACUCCAAGAUGCUCCACCGGAUUUCUUUCACCUUUGCCACUAGAUUACUUCUUUAUAAUAAUGUUUUCAUUGUUAUAGUGUAUUACUGUAGUAUCUUGUACUUGCAGCUACAUGCAUUAAUUAAUCUGGCUGUUAGGAUUUGAUUGGCAAAAUUCUAAAUUGUAAAUCACAACUCUCUACUCCCUCCGCAGUCCCAUUUCACAUUACAUCUUUACUGCAAGCCUCUACAAUUCUACUCUGCUCAGCCCACCCAGGUUCCCCCUAAAUUUAUAGCAUGCUCCUCCAGCUGUUUAAAAUUCUCACUCACUUACCUCUUCAUUCCCUCUAUAUUCUAACAAUAUCUGCAACUCUCUGUUUCCUUAUUUAGCCAUCACUUCCAAAUUUCCCCUGCUACCUCUUGUCUCAAAUCCCCACGGUAUCCUUUAGAUUGUAAGCUCACGGGCUAUCUACCCAUGCACUUCGUGUAAAAGAGCUUAAUACGUCCAGCGUCGUUUAGACGACCAAAAGUCAUCUAAAAAGUCGGAAGUACCUCUAGUGGCUGUCUUGUAGACAGCCACUUGAGGAGGACUUAACCCUGUAAGGUAAUUAUUGCAGUUUAUAAACACUGCAAUAAUUACACUUGCAGGUUAAGGGAGAUGGGAGUUGGCACCCAGACCAGUUCAAUGGGCUGAAGUGGAUUGGGUGCCUACAAUGUCCCUUCAAUGCUCUAUGAGAUACGACAUAUAAUUUUGGAAUAAUUAUCUAUAAAUGUUAGUGUAUACAGUGCCUUGCAAAAGUAUUCACCCCCUUGACUUUUUACCUAUUUUGUUACAUUACAGCCUUAAGUUCAAUGUUUUGUUAAUCUGAAUUUUAUGUGAUGGAUCAGAACACAAUAGUCUAAGUUGGUGAAGUGAAAUGAGAAAAAUAUAUACAUAAAACAAUUUUUUUGAAAUAGAAAACAGAAAAUUGGCAUGUGCGUAUGUAUUCACCCCCUUUGUUUUGAAGCCCAUAAAAAGCUCUGGUGCAACCAAUUACCUUCAGAAGUCACAUAUUUAGUGAAAUGAUGUCCACCUGUGUGCAAUCUAAGUAUCACAUGAUCUGUCAUUAAAUUUACACACAGAGGCUGCAACACCUAAGCAAGAGGCACCACUAACCAAACACUGCCAUGAAGACCAAGGAACUCUCCAAACAAGUAAGGGACAAAGUACAAGUUAGGGUUAGGUUAUAAAAAAUUAUCCAAAUCUUUGAUGAUCCCCAGGAGCACCAUCAAAUCUAUCAUAACCAAAUGGAAAGAACAUGGCACAACAGCAAACCUGCCAAGAGACGGCCGCCCACCAAAACUCAAGGAGGGCAUUAAUCAGAGAGGCAGCACAGAUACCUAAGGUAACCCUGGAGGAGCUGCAGAGUUCCACAGCAGAGACUGGAGUAUCUGUACAUAGGACGACAAUAAGCCGUACGCUCCAUAGAGUUGGGCUUUAUGGCAGAGUGGCCAGAAGAAAGCCAUUACUUUCAACAGAAAACAAAAUGGCAAAUUUUGAGUUUGCAGAAAGGCAUGUGGGAGACUCUCAAAAUGUAUGGAGGAAGGUGCUCUUGUCUGAUGAGACUAAAAUUUAACUUUUCAGCCAUCAAAGAAAAUGCUAUGUCUGGCGCAAACCCAACACAUCGCAUAACCCAAAGAACACCAUCCCCACAGUGAAACAUGGUGGUGGCAGCAUCAUGCUGUGGGGAUGUUUUUCAGCACCCGGGACUGAGAUUCUGGUCCGAGUUGAGGGAAAGAUGGAUGGUGCUAAAUACAGGAAUAUUCUGUGCGUGAUUUGAGGCUAGGAUGGAGGUUCACCUUCCAGCAGGACAAUGACCCCAAACACUUGAGUGGUUUAAGGGGAAACAUGUAAAUGUGUUGAAAUGGCCUAGUCAAAGCCCAAACUUCAAUCCAAUAGAAAAUCUGUGGUCAGACUUAAAGAUUGCUGUUCACCACAACAACGACUUCCCCCCGGGACUGGACCCAAGAGCCCUGAAAGACAUCCUCCCGGACACAUCCCCAUGCUUACACCAUGCCCUACAGGGAGGGAAAUGCAAAAAACUGACAGACAUGAUGGGAGAGAUACCCCCAACCUUUAUGCACCACUUUAGAUAUACCCAACUAAUCAACUACAUCCACACACUACCACAGGGACCAGCACUCACCAGAGAACACACCACACUGGAAGUGGUCUGCAUGUACCCAGACCCGCUCCCACAUGGAGUGUCCUUCCUAUACUCCAUGCUACAAACGGGCAUCCCAACCGAGACACCCCUAUUAAUGGGGAAAUGGGAGGCUGCCCUCGGAUACACACUAACAGACACGGAGUGGGAGUCCAUUUGCUACCUCACACACCACUGCUCUACACAUAGCAAAACGCAAGAGACAGCCUACAAGCUACUAACACACUGGUACAGGACACCACACCUCCUCCUCCAAAUAGACUCAGACCAAUCCGGCCUAUGCUGGAGAUGCGAACAAGAGGAAGGCAGUAUAAAACACAUCUGGUGGGACUGCACAAAGAUCAAACCAUAUUGGCGGAAUAUACACAAAAUGCUAGAGAAAUUUACGGAUGAGCCACCCCCAUGGAACCGGCAGCAAUGCUCCUACACCACACUUCUGUUCCCCACUCUAAAUACAAAAGGUCUAUGACCAUUUGAAUACUUAAUGUAGCCAAACGAGUGCUUCCCCAAUUCUGGAAACAGAACAUAACACCCCCGCUUAAGACCUGGUUCAGCCAAAUGGAGGAACUCAGGACAUCAGAGGAACUGACCAUGACGACCCAUACUACCCCAACGACCUACAUGGACAUAUGGACAUAUUGGAUCCUAGAGACGGCGAAGGAAGGAUUCCAAAUGGAACUCAGAUCUGACGAACGCCACACCACAGACAGAUAGGACUUAGAAUACACACACUGGACGACAGACGAUGACAGACGACUGACUAUCCUAACACCCCCACUCCCGACUUUCCUCCCCCCUCCUAAUGACCCACGCGAGACAACAACCCCAACCCAAACAGAUACACCUACCGAUAGAGGAGACACCUGAGCCCUGAACAAAAAACUCACAUGGAUCCAUAUAUACCUCCCGACCUACAGGGGACACAACCCCCGUGGCACACAUAACGAGCAGGCAUGAUAACCAUCGGACAGCCCGAGGGCAACACCAAAAUACACUAAAACGCCCUCCCGAAACUAUGGAACACAAAACCCACAACACAGACGCACCCCUACCCACACGCACGACACUCAGGACAUUAAGAGGACAGACACACGAAUCCACUCAGGACACACUACACAACCCAAGAUGUAGGGACCUGCAUGUCGCCUAACAAUAGAGGUUGGAUAAGAGGCCUGCGAGCCUCAGCACAUACUGAACACGAACCACAACUGGCAUACACGAAACUAAUAAACUAUAUGAACACGGCUUACUCAAUAGGCCAAUUUGCAGAUGGAAACUGUAAACGAGGUUUAUUCCCAUUGAGACAUAGACAUGUAUUAAAUGAGAUGCGUGAAACUUGAUAGUAGGGACUUGCAAGUCCGUCAACAUUGUGGGCCUGCGAGCCCAACCAGAAAUCUGUGUUUUCUUAUCUUAUGAUAACUCACCUUGGAGACCUGCGAGUCUCAAAGUCUUGAAUAAUCUAUAUAAAUAAAAAUUGUAUUCACCAAAAAAGAUUGCUGUUCACAAGCAAAAACCAUCCAACUUGAAGGAGCUGGAGCAGUUUUGAAAGGAGGAAGGGCAAACAUCCCAGUGGUAAGAUGUGGCAAGCUCAUAGAGACUUAUCCAAAGCGACUUGGAGCUGUGAUUGCCGCAAAAGGUGGCUCUACAAAGUAUUGACUUUAGGGGGGUGAAUAGUUAUGCACAUUGACUUUUUCUGUUAGUUUGUCCUAUUUGUUGUUAGCUUCACAAAUGUAAUAAAAAAAAAAUCUUCAAAGUUGUGGCAUGUUCUCUAAUUUAAAUGAUGCAAAUCCUCAAACAAACUAUGUUAAUUCCAGGUUGUGGGCAACAAAAAACGUAAAAUGCUAAGGGGGGUGAAUAUUUUUGCCAGGCACUGUACUUAUUAUGACCACGAGACACUCCUAUAUCAGAGUGAAUGUAUUGCUGAGGCUUUACUGAGUUUCUGUGUUUGGGGGCUUUGUACCUUUACCUGUCAGAAAAAGUUCAUAUUCUUCUCUGUUGUGAUCCUUUUGACAAGCUUUUAUUUUUAUUAUUAUGUCUCAUACCAAACCUUCUGUAGAUCAGAAAUUGCAUCGACGUCUCUGUGACAAUUUCUUUUAUGCUACAGAUAGAUACAGUUUGAGAAAUGUUCAGCUUUUUAUUCUUGUGUGUUAAAAACAAAUUAACCAUUACUGUUAAAAUAUUGUGCAUACAAAAGAUCAGAUUUUGCUCAAUUUUAUUGCAAUUGAAGUUCAUAUUGAAUCCAUGCUCGGUUAAUGCUGAAACGAUAAGCAAAUUGCUUGUGAGUUCAGGUAAGUAAAUUACACUCUGCACUUUGUUGUUUAAUGUCUCUGCUUUUGCACAUUUAAACAAGAAUCUGUCUCCUUAUUUGUGUGCUGAUAAGCCGAUUUGUUUUCUCUGCUCUGUUUACUGACUCUUUAACACAUACUAUAUUUUACACAUAGAUUCUGUCCAAUUUCUAGUGCAUUAAUUUAUGAAUUGUAGCUUUCUUGAAGAGUUGAUACAAUAAGAAUCCCUACAGCGCAAAACACAACUCUACAUCCCCAAGAUCAAGGACACGGCCCAACGGACACUCCACCUCCCAGACCAUUCCUGACACAUUCCUCCGCUACUAUGGAGACCUUUACAACAUACAACAAGGGACACGAGACGCUGAGACGAACAGCAGGACCGAAGCCAUACACACGUACCUGGCUGCGUCCGGACUAACUCAAAUAACAGAACCGGACCGCACAGAGCUGGACGCCCCCAUAACACCGGAUGAGCUGACACUGGCUAUCCGAAGAGCAAAAACAGGUAGAUUGCCAGGACCAGAUGGCCUGCAUCUGCUCUACUAUAAGACAUUUCUACCAGACCUUCUCCCGAAACUACACGCGGCCCUGAACUCCAUCAUGGACGGGGCUCUCCCCUCAGCUCAAUUUACGGCCACAAACAUUACGCUUCUCCCAAAGGAAGGCAAAGACCCGACAGCUUGCCAAAGCUACCGCCCGAUCUCGGUCCUCAACGUGGGCGUCAAACUUUUAGCCAGCGUUCUGGCCAACCGCCCUGCUACAUUACUCCCAGGACUGAUCCACCCCGAUCAGACAGGGUUCAUCCCGGGUAGAGAGGUCCGGGACAACACCAUCCGAGCACUGAACCUCAUCACCGCAGCCACGCACUCCAACCGCCCAAUGCUGCUCCUAUCAACGGAUGCUGAAAAGGCCUUCGACCGAGUGGACUGGGGCUUCAUGUUCACAACACUCAGAAACCUGGGCAUAGGCCCCAAAUUCAUCAAAUGGGUAGAGGCACUGUACGCCUGCCCGACAGCAAGACUGAGGCUCAACCGAGCACUGACUGACCCGUUCCAAUUCCACAACGGAACGCACCAGGGGUGCCCCUUAUCACCCCUGUUAUUUGCACUAACAUUGGAACCCUUCCUCAACAACAUCAGAAGAAACGAGGUGAUAAAUGGGCUAACACUCGGCCAGACACACCACGAAGUCCUGGCCUACGCGGACGAUCUCCUCUUUGUGGUACAAGACCCGGCCACAUCCUUACGGGAAAUCAUGGCAGAAUUUGAGACAUACGGCCUCUUGACAAACCUAAAGAUCAACUACACAAAAUCGUGAAUCCUGGACCUAGCAAUUGGAGGGACACAAAGACAGCCGCUCCGACUUAGCUUCCCGUUCCACUGGAACACGACCCGACUGCGCUACAUGGGUGUCUGGCUCACGCUGAACCCGGCAGACCUAUAUGCGCACAACUUUGCCCCUCUUCUCAAGACCACACAGGAGGAACUACACAUCUAGAGCUCACGCUACCUCUCCUGACUGGAGAGCAUAAACGCGGUUAAAAUGACCCUGCUCCCCAAAAUUCUCUUCAUCUUCCAAACCAUCCCAAUCCUGGUACCAAAGAGCUUCUUCACCACUAUCCAUGCGGCAGUCCGUGAGUUCGUGUGGAAGGGUAAAUCCCCCCCGCAUAGCCCACUCCCAACUAACACCCAAGGGGGCUUGACCCUCCCGGACUUUAGGAAGUACUACUUAGCAGCCCACCUCAUGCGAAUAAUCAGCUGGUCGGUGACUGCACAAGACAAACCCUGGGUACAAACGGAAGCAGACAGCACCAACUGUAAACUUGCAGCCCUACCGUGGAUCACGAGGGAGGCGAGAAAGUGCAUACACCUCACCAAACCAUUCGUGAAAGCCACCCUCCAUCUCUGGCACCAGAGCGGCCCCAAAUUGUACCUUAAAACAGACCCCAGCCCCCUGCUCCCCCUAAGGGGAAAUCCAGACUUCCCGGCCAGAGAAAUAAAACCCCUCUCAAGCAACACACUGCCCCAAAUGGCGGAUGUAUUAACAACCCCAUUCACCACCAGACCGACGACCGCCCUCUUCCCAGAACAACGCAUCACAUUCAUGCACACCAUGGCGAGGGAACAAAUAUCCCACUACGCACGCUCGAUUCCCCAACGCCCCAGCCUACUUCACGACUGCACAGAAUUCAAAUCCAUCUGCACACAGGACACUGCACCACCCAAGGAACUAUCCUUGACAUACGCCUCACUAACCACAGGAUGCUACCUUCUAGCACCGCCAUGCAUCAGAUGGUGGGAAGAGGAUCUGGACGAAGCACUCUCAGACGCCGAAUGGGAUAAGAUCAUCAUGCAUGCCCCAAAAACUCCAGGGUCUGCAAGGCUUCAGGAAAAUUCAUACAAGGUCUUCACAAGAUGGUACAUUACUCCCGCCACACUACACACCAGAGACAACACAGUCCCAGACAUGUGCUGGUGCUGCGGAGAGGAGAGGGGUACCUUUCUCCACCCUUAUCCGAACGUUCUGGGCUAAGAUCGCCCAGAUGAUCCGGGAAGUAACAGACGAAGAAAUGUCACAGACACCAGCUCCCUACCUCCUUCACCACACAACAAUGCCCACACCAGCGUACAAACGAUCAGUGAUUCCUAGACUCCUCAACGUGGCGAAAGCCAUCAUCCCCAUCUACUGGAGACAACCAUGCUCCCCGCCAAUCAAGAGGUGGGUGGAGGAGGUGGAAGAUACAAGGAGCUGAGACUCAUCUCCUCUAACGACUUCGUGCAACGCCUAUCCACUACCUGAACAACCAGAGGAUAACCUAACAGAGACCGAGCAGAUACCACCAGUCGACCCCUGGGGCGGGAGGAACCGGGGCGGCGAACGGGGACGCUGAUCGCAACCUUGUUUAUUUGGCCCGUGCUUGACUUUGAGUUUGACAUGCUUAGCUUAGAGCGUCAUCUGACCACUCUAGCCAAUCAGUGGCACCCAUACCUGGUGGCAGUCUUCACUUCCCGAAACUCAGUUUCAGAAGCUAGAUGCUGCAUUGGAAAACUGCAGAUUCUGAGCAAGAGGCAGCCUUUGGGGUUAAACCGUUUGAGAACGGUUUAACCCUUUUAGGUAAGAAAGAGCCCGGGAGCCUCCUGGGACAAUAACAACUUAAUUUAGAUAAAGUUGUUAUGGUGAUCUGAGUGUUCCUUUAACUCUGACAUUGGAUUUAGAUGUUUCUCCAGCUUAAUAUUCUGCAGUUAUCUUGAUAAAUAACAUUUUAUUUAGACUCUCACUUCCAUACCAUUAGUCUAAGCCUUUCUGUAACUCACUGGCUGUUUUUUUGUGGUGAAAUCACAGUUACUCACAUAUGUGGAGACCUCAACUUUCAUUUUCCUGUCCUUUUUUUCCACUGAAUUCUUCUUGCAUUAGCCACUGGUGAGGACACUUCCACUGGUGACAUUCCUUCUCACAAACUCAUUCUGCAUUGCGAACUUCCAUGCCAAGUAAUCAGUAGAUUUGAGAAUAGGUACAGCGACUCCCAUAACAUUCACAGCCCCAGUGUAUGUGCCAUCCUUGCAGCUUCUACUCUGGGCCCAUUCCCAAUUGUUGACAUUUAGCUUUAGAGUUGUACUAGCACAGCAGCAGCAUGUAGAAGUCAGAGCAGGGCACACAAAUGGAGCUAGGCCAAUGGUUUUCUUAAACAUUCUGACUGAAUAAAACAAGAAAAAUAUUUGUUACGGGAAAAUAACAUACAUCCAGCACCAUAGAGAUGUUAGAGGAAAGACAGUAACAUGGCAGCAGUAAAUUCCCCUGCAUAUUCAGAUUAGGCACAAGUAAUUACUAACAGGAUAUAUUAAUAUUAUGUAUUAUCAUUUACCCAUUCAUACAGGGUUGUAUUUGUGUGCAGUGCUUGUUUGUGCAUGGAAGUUUGUGUGUAGUGUUGUUGUUUGAAUGCAGGGAUGUGUUUGUGUGUAAUGUUGGUGUUUGUAUGCAUGUGCCUAUUCAUUUACAUAUAUGUUGUCAGAGUCACUUUAUCCCACACAAACACUGCCACACUGACACUGACACCCAGGCAGUGGCGGAUCCAGGGGGGGGGCAACGGGGCAAUUGCCCCCCCCGAGAAAUCCGCCGGUCUCCCUCUCCCCUGCCAGCAGCACAUGCAGGUGCUAGCCUUGCAAUGUGCCUGCGGACCGGAGGGGAGAUCACAGAUCUCCCUCCCCGGUCCGCAGGCACUGUGCUGGCGGCCGGCGGGGAAGGAGGGAGAGGGAGGAGAGAGGACCCGGAGCUCAGGCUGCAGCUCCUCCGGGUCCUCCUCUCGUGAGAUUUGGAGCGUUGCCGCGGUUACCACGGCAACGCUUCAAAUCUCGCGAGAGUGAACUCUAGCCCGGGAGCGCGGGCUAGAGUUCACUCUCCCCACUAGGACCACCAAUUAAUCGCCCACCGGACCACCAGGGAAAUGUCCCCCCUCCCCCCAGUAAAGGUAAGAAGGGAGGGGGGACAUAAUGAUUAUUUAUAUUAAACUAAAUUUAAAAAAAGUAUUUUUAAAAAAAAGCCCCCCACCCUUAUCACACACACACACUCUACACACAUACACUGAUCCCCAUACUGCCCCCCCAUACACACAUUGCCCCCCACACUGCCCCCCAUACACACAUACUGCCCCCCCAUACACACAUUGCCACCCAUACUGCCCACCCAUACUGCCCCCCCAUACACACAUUGCCCUCCAUACUUCAUACACACAUUGCCCCCCAUACACCCAGCCCCCCAUACUGUCCCCAUACACCCAUACUGUCCCCCAUACACCCUGCUACUGCCCCCCACACACACUGCCCCCAUACACACACACACACACACACACUGCCCCCCAUACACACACUCCUGCCCCCCCAUACACUGAUCCCCAUACGCCCCAUACACCCAUACUGCCCCAUGCACACACACAUUGCCCCCAUACUGUCCCCCAUACACCCAUACUGCCCCAUACACACACAUUAAGCCAUACACCCAUACACCCAUAUGCCCCAUACACACACACACCCCCAUACACCCAUACUGCCCCCAUACACACACAUUGCCCCUAUACUGUCCCCCCAUACACCCACACUGCCCCCCAUACACACACUCUACACACAUACACUACCCGAUACACACACUGUCCCCCAUACACACACGCUGCCCUGCCCCCAUACACACGCUGCCCUGCCCCCAUACACACGCUGCCCUGCCCCGAUACACACACACUGCCCCCAUACACUGCCGCCCCAUACACACACAUACACUGCAAUACUCACACACAUACUGUCCCACACAUACGCUGCCGCCCUCACACACACACUGCGCACACACUGUCCCCCUCACACACACACACACACUGCACCACUCACACACACCACUGCUCCUAUGCCCUACUACUGCCCCAUUUCCCAGCAGACCUCAGGUAAGUUGUCAAACUGUUCUUAAACGGUUUGACUACUUACUCUGGGAGGGGGUCCCGGCACUAUUGACACCAUAACCACUACACUGAGCUGUAGUAGUUAUUGUGUCUGGAUUAUUUCUUUAAAUAAUCUACAAGUGCCCCUCCCGAGAUCAGGCUCUGGAUCCGCCACUGCACCCAGGGCUGCCAUCAGAAAUUUUGGGGCCCCUGACACAGCUCAAGGUCUGGGCCCCCCGGUGCCUGCACCUGAGUACGCCCAAAGUGCUGCCCCCCCCCUGAGUCCGCCCACAGGGAUGCAGUGUCUGUACUGAUUCUGGUGUGUGUGUAUAGUGGAUGUAGAAUGUGUGUAGUGGAUGCAGAGUUCAUGUGUUAAGUGGAUGCAGUGUUUGUUUAACGGAUGCAGUGUGUAUAGUUGAUGCAGAUUGUACAUUUGUGUAAUGUAUGAGGUGUAUAUUAGAUGCAGAGUGUGUUUGUGUAGUGGAUGUAGUGUGUGUUUAUAGUGAAUGCAGAGUGUGUUUGUGUAGUGGAUGUAGUGUUUGUGUGUAUUAAAUGCGAUGUGUAUAGUGAAUGCAGAGUGUGUGUUUGUGUAGUGGAUGUAGUGUGUGUGUAGUGAAUGCAGAGUGUGUGUUUGUGUAGGUACUGCAGAGUGUGUGUUUGUGUUAGGAAGUAGUGUGUGUGUAGUGACUCCAGAGUGUUUGUGUAAGGAUGUAGUGUGUAUUAGUAUUAGUGACUGCAGAGUGUGUGUGUGUGUGUUUGUGUAGUGACUCCAGAGUGUGUGUUUGUGUAAGGAUGUAGUGUGUGUAAAUUUUAGUGAAUAUUGUGUGUAUAUGUUAGUGUAUAGUUUGUAUACAUGUUAGUAAAUAGUGUGUGUAAAUGUUAGUGUAUAGUGUGUGUAAAUAUUAGUGUAUAGUGUGUGUAAAUGUAUGGGGCUGCAAAAGGUGGGGGGAAAAGCCUACAGUUUUUUUUUCCAUCCAUUAAUUGUAUUGUUUUAUUCCCCCUCCUGUGGCCAUGGAGGGGGGAGAUCACAUUGGCUGGAGCCGGAGGUCCUGAGGAAUGGUGCAGCCCCCGCUACCUGUAUUCUGCAUGGGGCCCAGCACACUUGAAAUAUACUGCUCUGCUCUGUCAAAGUCUUGCGAGCCGUGCGGAGCGUUGCCAUGGCAACACUCUGACGAUCGCGUCGCUCUGGAGACUUCGACAGAGCAGAGCAUCUGGACAGUAUAUUUCAAGUGUGCUGGGUCCCCUGCAGAAUACUGGUAGCGCGGGGCCCGCAGUGCACACAUAUGUAGCGUUAAUCACUAUAUAUGUGUGCACAUAGCUAAUGUGGGCAGUGGCGUACACACAACCCAUGGGGCCCUGGUGCGAAAACUGAUCCGUGCCCCCCCGCGCGCGCGCUUACUCUGCGCGGGCUGGGGCCGUAACACAUGACGGCGGGGACCUGGUCGCACCCCUGCGACUGCGGUAUGUACGCCAGUGCAUGCAGAUACACUUAAAGGACCACAACAGACACCCAGAUCACAUCAGCUCAAUGAAGUGGUCUGGGUGCCAUGUCCCUCUAGUUUUAACCCUGCAGCUCAAAACAUAGCAGUUUCAGAGAAACUGCUAUGUUUCACUGAGGAUUAAUCCAGCCUCUAGUGGCUGUCUCAUUGACAGCCACUAGAGGAGCUUCUGCGAUUCUCACUGUGAAAAUCACAGUGAGAAGACGCUGAACGUCCAUAGGAAAGCAUUUCCUAUGGGCGGUUUGAAUGCGCGCGCGGCUCUUGCCACGCAUGCGCAUUCAGAGCUGAGAGGCGGAUCAGGGCGGAGAGAUCCCCAGCGCCAAGGGAGUCCAGCACUGGAGAAAGGCAAGUGCUUAAGACACACACACACUCUCACGAACAGACGCAUACACACUAGCUAACAGACAUACACAUUUACUGACUGACACACACUCAGUGACAGACAUACACACACUCACUAACACACGCACACAAACUAACACACUCAGUAACAGACACACAGUACCACACUCACUGACACACUCACUGACACACACUCUCUCACACACACUCUCUAACAAACACACACACUCUAACACACACACACACACUUUUUUUUUUAAAUUUCAUCCCCCCAGCCUCCCUACCUUUGGGAGUGCUGAGAGGAUUCCCUGGGGUCCAGUGGUGUCACCUGGCGGCCGGUCCUCUUCAGCUCCUUCACGAGCCGCAUACUGAUGCCAGAGCCGGAAGAUGACGUCAUCUGAAGAGGAAGCACUCAGCCAGGGAGAGUGCUCCCUCGCGCGCCCGCCGGGUGACAACAGGGCCAGCCUCGGGGGGCCCUGAGGUGACCAGCUGCUGGGCCGCCCAGGAGAAAAGGCUGGCUACACUGGGUACAUACCAGGUCGCAGGGCCCCCUGCAACCCCGGUAUGUACGCCACUGAAUGUGGGGCCCGGGACGACCUGAGCAGUCCGGGCCCUCCAGGACCACCGGGCCCAUGACAACCGUUAUGGUUGUCAUGCCCUGAUGGCGGCCCUGCUGACACCCACCCUCACUGCGAGUUCAAUUUUCCUGAGGUGUGCACUGUAAAUAUCUUCCCGGGCCCUGUGAGCCUCCAAUCCUGCCUCUUUCUUAUUUAUGGUGACAGCUACCAGCGUGGCCAGGAAGAGUCUCAUGGAAAAUGUAACAGGCAUUGGUGUGGCCCUGGGGUGGUAACCCCUGAUGCAGCACUGGAAAUUUCACACUUGCUGCACUCAUCUCUCAAUUUUCCAUUGAAAAGUUAUAACAUCAUAUUUAUAAAAGCACAGUUGGCUAAGAUGCAGCAGGGUCAUCAUCAACCUAUUGUUUCUGCAACAUUUUGGAAUUGUUUCAUUUAUUGUUAAAUUUCUCCCCUUUAUGAUAUUGUAAAGUGCUGCGGAAUAAGUUGGCGCAAUAGCAAUGCCAACAAUAAUAAUUAUAUGCAAUGUGGCAGAAACUGAAUAUAAGAGCACAAUACUGUUUUGUAGGUUUUGUAGGUGGGAGGUGCUGUGUUGAAGAUCGUAAUGAGAAGAAGAGACAAGAGAGCUAUAGUCACCCGCUCCCACCCUUACCUCCAUGGAAUUAUUCUGAAUAUUUUUAGGUUUCAUUUUUUAAUAAAAUAAUAUUUACACAUUAUAUAUUCAUAUUUAUAUGCAUACCUACACACACACACACACACACACAUGCAUACAUACCUGCAUAUAAAAAAAAGAAACUUUUGUUUUUUAAAUGUUCAUUUCAUGAAGUAUAUUUUAUUUGUGUUGUUUUUAAGAGGCAAAGUCAUCCUUUUGUUUAUGGUUUAGGGAGGUUAGAUAUGGUUAUUGUUUAAGCUGAAAAGGCAAACAUUCUGGCGAAUGCAUGACUAAAUGGCUAAUGAAAGCAGAUGUAUAUUUUUCUAUUGGUUUAUUAAUGUUUAUUAAUUUGUUUUAAGGUAUGCACUGCACAAGAAAGGAGAAAACAUGAGAAUUGGAGAAAAGACAGGUAACCAUGGGUGAUGAUGAAUAGAAUCUUUACUGUGUAGAAUGUGAAUCAUAUACCAGGAAGAGAACUGGAAUGCUGUAUUAAACAGAAAUAUGUUGGCAAGAGGUGAGGUAUUAAUAGAAGAGGGUAUUGGCAACCAGUCUUCUAUAAAACUGUCAGUCUCUGAUUGCUAUGAACAUCCACUUAUCCGUUUGUAAUUGUUUUUUUCUUCUUUUAAUUUAUAUUUUAUUGAGUUAAUUACAUCGUUAUCAAACUGUUUUAUUAGUUAUGAUAAAUGAACAGCGUAUGGUAAGCAACGUAUUAGGUGAGUAUAACAACAUAACUACUGGUGGUAUGACAGGAAUGGGCUGUCUCUUGGGAUCAACAGGUAUGGCAACCUUUGAAAACUUGGUAUUUUGAACCCAGUGGUUAAGCUAUCGGUGCUACAUAAGUCCCAGCCUCUGAGCAGGAGGUGGUUAGGUCUCCAGACUACGGCACCCAUGGAACCAACUCGCCUCAAUUGAGGCAUCUGAUAUGGUAUGGACUGGUAAGUGUUCCCAAAGCACCUAGGCCAGCGUCCCGGCUUCUUAAUGGUGGGUGCACUUUCUUGGGUACCAUCUUUGGCGGUUGUGUAGUCGCGUUGUUGUUCCUGGUUUUAAGGUCCCGGACUUAGUUUUUUGCCUCUGGAGCAGUUCCUCGUUGGUUGUUGGACAAUCCCAGUGCCUGCACGAGCGACUCUGGAUCUUCCGCUGACGUCAACAUAAUGGUCUCUCCUCCAUUCUCCACCAAGAGGGACCCCUCCAUUCCCCAGCGGUAUUUCAUGGAGUGUUCUCUUAAUCGACUAGCAAUUGGAGCCAGCUUCCUCUUCUCUAGCAGGACUGAGAACGGGAUGUCUGCAUAUAUAGCGACAGCAUGCUCCCAAUAUUGUAUCGCCCCCAUCUCCCGCGAGUGGGUCAUAAUCACCGAUCUCGCUGCGAUACCUCUCGUCACCGCAAUUAUAUCUCUGGGUGUGCUGCUUGGCAUCGCUGCUGAUUUCCUCACAAUGAACACAGAUGUUAUCAUAGGCUAUGCAGGGGUGUAUUUAAUUCCUAUGUGUGUAAGCAUGUCUUUGAUAAAAAUAGGUUGUGUCUCUGUGCUUACUUGCUCUGGGAUGCCCAUGAGUCGUAUGUUUUUCUUUCUGUGGAGCAUCUUUAGGGUGGUCACCACUCUGUUGAGGUGCUGAGCUUGGGCGGAAAGUCCUUCGAGUUUGUUAUCUCUGUCUUGUAUGUGUUUGGACCUGUCAGCCUCUAUCCUCCCCAGCUCCCUCACCUUUUUGUAGACUGCACCGAUCUCUGCCUGAGCCACGUAGAGGUCUUCUUUCCAGAGGUCAACCAGGAGCCUCCUGAUGUCUCCUUUUGUGGAGGGUACUUCAUCCUCACCCGAAGCAGAGAUGGGGGUCGUAGCCCGAGAGCAGGGAGAGGUGAGAGGAUCUUCCUCCCCCAAUGAGGCCUCUGAUGACUACAGGAUGUCUACCGGCUCCGGUGUCAUUGAAGACUGCUGCGCUUAAAGGAGAGCCGAAUAUCUGGCUGACAGGGAGCCUCUGACUGACGGUGUUUCUUGUUUUUUUACCCCAUUGUCUCUGCUUGUGGGGGGUGCUUUUUUGGUGCAGAAUUUUCUCUCUUUGUGGCUCUAAGUCUCGGGUUUCCCCUACGACCGGUUGGAGCCCAGGGAAAAGACGUUUGUGUUCUUGUAAUUGUUUUUAGGGUGCCAGAGACAAGGGUUCUUUUUCAUAGAGAAUAGAUGACAAUUGAGACCCCCGCCGGGGGUCGUCCCGGCCCACACUGGCUCAACGCACAUAACUCUGACGAUUCCUAAAACAGCAUGCAGACUGAGCCUGGCAAGUGGCGACAAGAUGGCGGACAACACUCCCUCAUUGGAGCGCACAUCCACGCAGCCUCACGGAAAUCAGCAUGGCACGAUGGAGCAAACACUCCAAUAGCUCGACGUUAUCUUCCAUUAGUUCUGGGCAAAGUUUAUGGCGCGACUGUACCAGCCACCGCAAAACACGAUGAAGGAGGUGGGGAGUGGAGGGGACGAUAGGUGGAAACGGCCUCUCUCGGGCAAAGCUCACAUACCAGCAUCGACUCUCCAUACUCAAGGCCUACCCUGGUCCUGAGGAAAGUGCCACGGCGGCAUAGACCACACCGCAGGAAGACCACCCACCGCUGGUGGUGGCAAAACACCUGGGUUUCCCGAUGCGCCCAUCAAGAGAAAGACUCUGACUCCUGGAGCCAUCGAGUCUGUGGCCUACAGAUGCCACCCUCCAUACACGCCUGGGCUGGAGGAAGUCCUCAACCUGCCCGCUUAAAACUGUAGCACAAUGCAGUCUUGCGGUCCCUGUGACUCCUCAGCCGAGAAUGGGCAUUGGUUGAAAACGGGACAGCUGGUGUGCGAACUCUCACUGCUGCCAACGAGCAGGUAACACGUGAUUCUGCCAUUGAUAGCCCCUGGGGCCACCACGCCAGAGCCAAUCUGUGUUUACACAAGCUUAGGGGAUAUGCUUGCGAUAGGGUGCAGAGUCUCAAUAGAUUUCCACGUUCCAGUGAUCUACUCAAGGAUCUAGCAUGUCCUGCAGAAUAAUGAAUCACAACAAUAUUCAUGCCUAACUAGUCCAGUUUCACUCAUAGCUUCUGUUUUGUUGUCAGUUGCGACCUAGCCUUUAAAACUUGUAUCUCUUUAAGCAAUGGACGCUGAUACCAGAGCAUACCAUGAUUUCCACUACUUUGCAUAGCAAUUAAUCUGUUUAGCAACAUAACUAUUAGAAUUGUUUUAGCUUAAUGUCCAUAAUGUUAUCCAUGUCUACUCAGUUCAGUUUUAGCUUGUUUAUCUUUAAAAAAAAAAAAAAAAAUGAAGCAUUACUAUCUAAGAGAUGUUAUACUAUGCUGUGAUAUCCCUGUCUUGUAUACAAAUCGUGCAUUUCCUUUUCUUCAUUCUGUAACCCCAAAUCAUAUGCCUUAAUAAAAGAAAAACAAUUAACAAAAAAAUAAGAACUGUAAAUUGGUGGUGUUAAGUGGCAUUGUCUACCAGUACUAGGAUGAAUGAAGCAGACUGUCUCUACUGCUCAACAUUUGAGUAACUAAGCAAAAAGUUUUUUUUUUAUUUUCCUAACUGCAUAUUGAUAACCUAGUUCUACCCCAUGAUCAAUAUUCUAUAUUCCACUCAAAUUUCUUUUCACUGCCCCAGACAAAAAAUGAUUCUGUAUUUUCAGGUUCCUCUUAAUUUACAGUCAGCAGCACCACCCUCUGAUCAGGAGCAAAUUUCUAUGGGAACCAUUCUUUCUCAGAUCCUGUGACAGCUUACAUGUAGCUGUCUCUAGAGGUGACAUUACCAUGUAUGCACUUUAAAUAGAUACCAUGGUCACCCAUUUGUGAUGGAGAGGACAGAUGAAAGAUGGCAAAAUGGUAGCUCCCAAGAUGUGUUAGAACUACAUAUCCUGUAAUGAGUUGCUAGUCAGAAGAGAGAUGUAGUCCUACAACUGGGGAACUACCUUUUGGCCACCCCAUGAUAGGUGAAUGAAUCACGUGUACUUAAAUUUGUCACAUUAAAUGAAUGCUGUAGUGUAAAUAAAAUGAAUGUUGUAGAGUAUCUCAAUGUUAUGACAUUUACCUACCUCAGUCUGUGUGUUACAUACAGGGAGAAGACCCAGGUGUUGGAUAUGAUUCAUUCUUGGGAACAAAAUCAUCACUGCUUGCAGGCCUCCAGACAGUAAAUGGAGCUACUCUACAAAGAAAUCUAAAAUUGGAACAUACCGCACAUACCAGAGAGGGUUCAAUGUGUGAUAUUAUGUAACCAGAUCACAUUAUUCUCAUAACUUGUUCCGGAAUAUCAACAUGAUUGCAGUAUGUCACAUGUUCACAGCUCCAUUUAAAGGGAGAAUUCUUACAUAAUUCAGUUUACUGCGUUUAUUGAGGUCAAGGAAGAUAGUAUCAGC